rnacentral:rRNA from 1 species
UACGUAGGGUGCGAGCGUUGUCCGGAAUUAUUGGGCGUAAAGGGCUCGUAGGCGGUUUGUCGCGUCGGGAGUGAAAACACCGGGCUUAACUCGGUGCUUGCUUUCAAUACGGGCAGACUAGAGGCAUGCAGGGGAGAACGGAAUUCCUGGUGUAGCGGUGAAAUGCGCAGAUAUCAGGAGGAACACCGGUGGCGAAGGCGGUUCUCUGGGCAUGUCCUGACGCUGAGGAGCGAAAGUGUGGGGAGCGAACAGG